CCUACGGGAGGCAGCAGUGAGGAAUAUUGGUCAAUGGACGCAAGUCUGAACCAGCCAUGCCGCGUGCAGGAAGACGGCUCUAUGAGUUGUAAACUGCUUUUGUACGAGGGUAAACGCAGAUACGCGUAUCUGUCUGAAAGUAUCUUACGAAUAAGGAUCGGCUAACUCCGUGCCAGCAGCCGCGGUAAUACGGAGGAUUCAAGCGUUAUCCGGAUUUAUUGGGUUUAAAGGGUGCGUAGGCGGUCGGAUAAGUUAGAGGUGAAAUCCCGAGGCUCAACUUCGGAAUUGCCUCUGAUACUGUUCGGCUAGAGAGUAGGUGCGGUAGGCGGAAUGUAUGGUGUAGCGGUGAAAUGCUUAGAGAUCAUACAGAACACCGAUUGCGAAGGCAGCAUACCAAGCUACUUCUGACGUUGAGGCACGAAAGCGUGGGGAGCAAACAGGAUUAGAUACCCCUGUAGUC
rnacentral:rRNA from 1 species